GAUGAACGCUAGCGGGAGGCUUAACACAUGCAAGUCGAGGGGCAGCAUAGGGUAGCAAUACUCUGAUGGCGACCGGCAAACGGGUGAGUAACGCGUAUGCAACCUACCCUGUACAGGGGGAUAACCCGGAGAAAUUCGGACUAAUAUCCCGUAAUAAUAUCCGGAGGCAUCUUUGGAUAUUUAAAGUUUCGACGGUACGGGAUGGGCAUGCGUAACAUUAGCUGGUUGGUAAGGUAACGGCUUACCAAGGCUAUGAUGUUUAGGGGUCCUGAGAGGGUGGUCCCCCACACUGGUACUGAGACACGGACCAGACUCCUACGGGAGGCAGCAGUGAGGAAUAUUGGUCAAUGGGCGCAAGCCUGAACCAGCCAUCCCGCGUGCAGGAAGACGGCCCUAUGGGUUGUAAACUGCUUUUCCAGGGAGAGAAACUUACGCACGUGUUGCGUGACUGACGGUACCCUGGGAAUAAGCAUCGGCUAACUCCGUGCCAGCAGCCGCGGUAAUAUC
rnacentral:rRNA from 1 species